CCACGAAGGCGGAAUCGCUAGUAAUCGCGAAUCAGCAUGUCGCGGUGAAUACGUUCCCGGGUCUUGUACACACCGCCCGUCAAAUCAUGGGAGUCGGAAGUACCCAAAGUCGCUUGGCUAACUUUUAGAGGCCGGUGCCUAAGGUAAAAUCGAUGACUGGGAUUAAGUCGUAACAAGGUAGCCGUAGGAGAACCUGCGGCUGGAUCACCUCCUUUCUAAGGA
rnacentral:rRNA from 1 species